rnacentral:tRNA from 2 species
GCGCCCGUAGCUCAACCGGAUAGAGUACCGGCCUUCUAAGCCGGUGGUUGCAGGUUCGAUUCCUGCCGGGCGCACCA